UACGUAGGGUGCGAGCGUUAAUCGGAAUUACUGGGCGUAAAGCGUGCGCAGGCGGUUUUGUAAGACAUAUGUGAAAUCCCCGGGCUUAACCUGGGAAUGGCAUUUGGGACUGCAAGGCUUGAGUGCGGCAGAGGAGACUGGAAUUCCCGGUGUAGCAGUGAAAUGCGUGGAUAUCGGGAGGAAUACCGAUGGCGAAGGCAGGUCUCUGGGCUGACACUGACGCUCAUGCACGAAAGCGUGGGGAGCAAACAGG
rnacentral:rRNA from 1 species